GUGUCAGCCGCCGCGGUAAUACGAGAGGCCCAAACGUUAUUCGGAAUUACUGGGCGUAAAGCGUGAGUAGGCGGUCACCGAAGUCGGGUGUGAAAGCCCAGGGCUCAACCCUGGAAGUGCACACGAUACUGGGUGGCUUGAGUUCUGAAGAGGAGAGCGGAAUUCCCGGUGUAGAGGUGAAAUUCGUAGAUAUCGGGAGGAACACCAGUGGCGAAGGCGGCUCUCUGGGCAGCAACUGACGCUGAGACACGAAAGCAUGGGGAGCAAACAGGAUUAGAUACCCUGGUAGUCC
rnacentral:rRNA from 1 species